rnacentral:rRNA from 1 species
GAUUAACGCUGGCGGCGUGCAUAACACAUGCAAGUCGAACGAUGAAACUAAAAUGAUCUCUUCGGAGUGAAUUUAAGUGGAUUAGUGGCGGACGGGUGAGUAACGCGUGAGUAACCUGCCUUAGAGAAGGGGAUAGCCUUUGGAAACGAAGAAUAAUACCCUAUGAAACCAUAACCUCGCAUGAGGCCUUGGUCAAAGAUUUAUCGCUCUAAGAUGGACUUGCGUCUGAUUAGUUAGUUGGUGGGGUAACGGCCUACCAAGACAGCGAUCAGUAGCCGGCUUGAGAGAGUGUACGGCCACAUUGGGACUGAGACACGGCCCAGACUCCUACGGGAGGCAGCAGUGGGGAAUUUUGCACAAUGGGGGAAACCCUGAUGCAGCGACGCCGCGUGAUUUAGAAGGCCUUCGGGUUGUAAAAAUCUUUUCUAUGGGAAGAAAAUGACAGUACCAUAGGAAUAAGGACCGGCUAAUUACGUGCCAGCAGCCGCGGUAAUACGUAAGGUCCGAGCGUUGUCCGGAAUCAUUGGGCGUAAAGGGUACGUAGGCGGGUAAGCAAGUUAGAAGUGAAAUCCUAUAGCUCAACUAUAGUAAGCUUUUAAAACUGCUCAUCUUGAGGUAUGGAAGGGAAAGUGGAAUUCCUAGUGUAGCGGUGAAAUGCGCAGAUAUUAGGAGGAAUACCGGUGGCGAAGGCGACUUUCUGGCCAUAACCUGACGCUGAGGUACGAAAGCGUGGGUAGCAAACAGGAUUAGAUACCCUGGUAGUCCACGCCGUAAACGAUGAGUGUUAGGUGUCUGGAGUAAAUCUGGGUGCCGCAGCUAACGCAUUAAACACUCCGCCUGGGGAGUACGCGCGCAAGCGUA